AUCGCUUCUUGGCCUUUCGGCUAAGAUCAAGUGUAGUAUCUAGUGAUGGUGAAAUGAGGCCCUGUGAAUGUGUCGAGGCUUUCUGGCCAAAUGCUUCACCAAAAGCCUGAUCAAACAAAGCCCCGUUUAACAGCUCAUUUAAGAAUACUGACAUCUGCUGGUGUGUUGCAUGCAGGGCAGUAGAUCUAUUAGUGUAAUUGUUCCAGUAUUAUGUCAAAAUUAUCAUUUGA
rnacentral:snRNA from 1 species